AGUCGUAACAAGGUUUCCGUAGGUGAACCUGCGGAAGGAUCAUUACAGUUAUUACCUUCUACCAGCGCUUAAUUGCGCGGUGGAAAAUAACCCAUACACACAGUGUUUUUUGUUUAUUACAAGAACUAUUGCUUUGGCUUGGCGCAAGUCGGGCCAGAGGUUACUACGUAAACUUCAAUUUGUAAUUGAAUUGUUAUUUUAAUACAGUUGUCAAUUUGUUUGAUUAAAUUCAAAAAUAAUCUUCAAAACUUUCAACAACGGAUCUCUUGGUUCUCGCAUCGAUGAAGAACGCAGCGAAAUGCGAUAAGUAAUAUGAAUUGCAGAUUUUCGUGAAUCAUCGAAUCUUUGAACGCACAUUGCGCCCUUUGGUAUUCCAAAGGGCAUGCCUGUUUGAGCGUCAUUUCUCUCUCAAACCCUUGGGUUUGGUAUUGAGUGAUACUCUUAGUCGGACUAGGCGUUUGCUUGAAAAGUAUUGGCAAGAGUGUACUAGAUAGUACUACCUGUUAUUCAAUGUAUUAGGUUUAUCCAACUCGUUGAACGACUGGGCGUAAGUUUCCGGUAAUUGGCUCGGCCUUACAACAACAAACAAGUUUGACCUCAAAUCAGGUAAGAUUACCCGCUGAACUUAAGCAUAUUAAAAGUCG
rnacentral:rRNA from 1 species